CAUAGAUCACCUUCUUUUUGGACAAAUGAAUCUUGAGUCUGCAGUGUGGGGAUAUUAGGAUGAGAGUGCAGGUGAUUGCUAGAGAACAACUUAUACCAAGCAUAAUCAAUACGAAAAAUCACUUGGAUAUCUACUCACUCGUCAGUGGUCUUCUCGAUACUAUAGUGGUGUGAGUUGUCCUUUGACUUGCAGUGCAUCGGCUAUUCGC
rnacentral:lncRNA from 1 species